CAUUGUCAUCCAUGGAUGAAAAUUGGAGUAAUUGGUACACAAUUUCUGUCAUAUUUUUAAUCGCAUAAUCUCAUAAUCCAUUACCAACCCCAACACCACCAAAAAAAAUGAGGAUUCCUUAACAAUGUACUCACACUAGACACAAUGAUAAACACAACACUUUUGUUUUUUCCCCCAUUUUUCAUGAGCUGAACUUUUUCUAUGUACACAAAAGGCC